GUUUGAUCCUGGCUCAGAACGAACGCUGGCGGCACGCCUAACACAUGCAAGUCGAGCGCACCUUCGGGUGAGCGGCGGACGGGUUAGUAACGCGUGGGAACAUACCCUUCUNUAAGGAAUAGCCACUGGAAACGGUGAGUAAUACCUUAUACGCCCUUCGGGGGAAAGAUUUANCGGAGAUGGAUUGGCCCGCGUUAGAUUAGAUAGUUGGUGGGGUAAUGGCCUACCAAGUCUACGAUCUAUAGCUGGUUUUAGAGGAUGAUCAGCAACACUGGGACUGAGACACGGCCCAGACUCCUACGGGAGGCAGCAGUGGGGAAUCUUAGACNAUGGGCGCAAGCCUGAUCUAGCGAUGCCGCGUGUGUGAUGAAGGUCUUAGGAUCGUAAAGCACUUUCACCNGGGAUGAUAAUGACAGUACCUGGAAAAGAAACCCCGGCUAACUCCGUGCCAGCAGCCGCGGUAAUAAGG
rnacentral:rRNA from 1 species